CAAAGUUCGUAUGUAUUAAAAUGCAGCAAUGUGUAUAGUUCGUUAUUGAGGAUAACGUGAAGAUUAUUUUAAUUAGGGAAGGAUAUUUCUACGUUAUAGUUAAUUGUAACUGUUUAAUUUCAACUUAUGUUUACAUUAAAAGACAUCCUUAAGCCAACUUUACUAAUAUUGAUCGCUAUUUUCGUGUUAUACAUCUAUAAUCAUCUUGUUAAAGAUUUGAAGCUUUGCUGCGAUAAUACAGCAGAGAAUUAUUCUCAUUAUGAUUUGGUCAUUGGAAUACUUUCAUCGCGCGGCAACUUUGAUUUGAGGCAAAGUUUACGUGAAUCAUGGGUUGGCUAUGCAAGACGACAUUCAUCGCUCAAUAAAAGGCUAAACUCGAAUAUUCACAAGAAAUAACGGUUACGGUACACUUGCCGAAGAUAUCACCAUCUUACAGGUUUGUGAAAGCUCUUCAAUAAAUAAUAGAAAAAUGCGUGUUGGUAUCUUGGGAGUUGGGAGUACGUAGAGGUAUUUUGGGAUUUUAGAGUAUAUCAAUCUGGUGGUUUAAGGGUGGUUUUAAAAGUGGAUUAGAGGUGGUUUUAGAGGAAGGUUAAGGGUAGUUUAAGGGUGGUUUAACCGUAGUCUAGGGUAGCGAAGCGUAGCUUGAAGCCUUGGACCACCUUUAAACCACGCUAAAGGUACACUCAAAUCACCCUUAAAACACCCUUACGCUACACUUAAACCACGCUGUGGAGAUGAUUUUUACACCAUUCCAGACCUCUCAUUGAGAGCUUUGGAAUGAGCCUCGUCCCGAGUGUCUACAAUUGCGCAUGCUCAGUAAAGAGUCGAUUUUAAUAUUAAUUACCUCCGGAAGUAUACAAGCUGUACAGAUGAUUUUCAACUCAAUCUAAAGAUUUUACUCAAUCAACAAUUGGAAAUGGAAAGUCAUAAUUUAAAAAACACGUCCAAAUUGUGGUGGGGAAGCUUUCGUACUGAUUGGUUGAUCGAGAGGCAGGGAAAAUGAGCCGAGCCUGAAUAUCCGGGCGUGACUUAUCCGACAUUUGCCUGAAGUGCGGGCAGCAUUAUUUCUUCGGAUAUUGUUCACUGGCUGGCAAAAAACGAGAAAUCUCUGAAACGUUAUCAGGGGGAGGAUGUCUCUAUGGGUAUUUGGUUAUCAGCUAUUCCUCCUGAAAUUUAUAAUGCAAGAUCUCCUGUUCUUCCCUGUAAGUUAUUGACAGUUGUUCAACAAGAUCCUUUAUGGUGAUCGUACUCCAACAAUCUUUUUUCAACAUCACGAGGAUUCAAUAGAAACGUUUGACAUGACAGUUAAAAUUUCUUCAUGGGAAACGCUACUACCGUUUGGUAGAGCAAUUAAACGAUCAGCGUUUUUAAUAUCUUCUAUUAAACUUCCACCUCUUUCCUCGCGUGCGAACACGCUACCAUUGCUUGUGAAGCUGUCGGCAACCUUCGACUCCUUUCGACCAAUUUUAUCGGGAGAUCCCGACUCUCGACCACGAGCGCUCUCCGUCUCGCUGUUGAAUCUAGAGUGACGAGUCUCGCUACUCGUGGAAAUGUAGCUGUUCUCUUGUGGACUUCCUUGUUGUCGUCUCUGCUCUCGUUGUUGUUUUUCUUCGCAUGCUGCAAGUUUCGCAGUCAAAUCACGUAUUUCCUCCUGUGAAAAGUGUAAGGAUAAUGAUUUUAAUUUGGGAAUGUCAUUAAUUGAAUAUCAAAUCGUCUUAUUUCA